rnacentral:rRNA from 1 species
GACGAACGCUGGCGGCGUGCUUAACACAUGCAAGUCGAACGGAAAGGCCCUGCUUUUGUGGGGUGCUCGAGUGGCGAACGGGUGAGUAACACGUGAGUAACCUGCCCUUGACUUUGGGAUAACUUCAGGAAACUGGGGCUAAUACCGGAUAGGAGCUCCUGCUGCAUGGUGGGGGUUGGAAAGUUUCGGCGGUUGGGGAUGGACUCGCGGCUUAUCAGCUUGUUGGUGGGGUAGUGGCUUACCAAGGCUUUGACGGGUAGCCGGCCUGAGUGGGUGACCGGCCACAUUGGGACUGAGAUACGGGCCAGACUCCUACGGGAGGCAGCAGUGGGGAAUAUUGCACAAUGGGCGGAAGCAUGAUGCAGCAACGCCGCGUGCGGGAUGACGGCCUUCGGGUUGUAAACCGCUUUCGCCUGUGACGAAGCGUGAGUGACGGUAAUGGGUAAAGAAGCACCGGCUAACUACGUG